rnacentral:rRNA from 1 species
GACGAACGCUGGCGGCGUGCUUAACACAUGCAAGUCGAACGGAAAGGCCCUGCUUUUGUGGGGUUCUCGAGUGGCGAACGGGUGAGUAACACGUGAGUAACCUGCCCUUGACUUUGGUAUAACUUCAGGAAACUGGGGCUAAUACCGUAUAGGAUCUCCUGCUGCAUGGUGGGGGUUGGAAAGUUUCGGCGGGUGGGGAUGGACUCGCGGCUUAUCAGCUUGUUGGUGGGGUAGUGGCUUACCAAGGCUUUGACGGGUAGCCGGCCUGAGAGGGUGAACGGCCACAUUGGGACUGAGAUACGGCCCAGACUCCUACGGGAGGCAGCAGUGGGGAAUAUUGCACAAUGGGCGGAAGCCUGAUGCAGCAACGCCGCGUGCGGGAUGACGGCCUUCGGGUUGUAAACCGCUUUCGCCUGUGACGAAGCGUGAGUGACGGUAAUGGGUAAAGAAGCACCGGCUAACUACGUG